rnacentral:lncRNA from 1 species
CAGCACUGCAUGUGGGGAGAAUCUCUGCCAGACUGAUGAGGAGCCCAAAAUAGAGGCUAUCGUGGUGUGGAGUGGUACAUUAAUCAAGGGAAUUCAGAGCCUGGCGCUUCUUAGUUUAUGCUGGAAUAAAUUAAGGCAAAAACUAAUCCAUCACGGUCACUCCCAGAUGCGGCCCCUUGCAUGGGGCAGGAACUGUAUCUCAGGGUGAGGCAUCGCUCUUCACCCGCUGCAUCCAUGAAGCUUGGAGGGGUCUGGCAGCCACUGAGGUGUCAGCUUGUUUGUGUCAUUUUGGUGGUCUGGGAAUUGAGUUAAUGGCAAGAGGCAGGGAGGACUGGGAUAUAACAGCCAAGAGGGAGCUGACUGUAUCAGACACCAUGGGAGCAGAGCGCUUAGAUGUCAUUACAAAAAAAAUAACCUGGCUUGCAGCAAAGAUUGAUGAUAAGAGAAGAAAGAAGAGGGGAAGGCCUUUUGAAAGCACACUUGCCUCAAUGAGGAGGAAACAGAAGCCACAAAUGUGCCUUGAAAAUGGCAGAGAAAAACGUGAGAAAGAGCUGAAACCCGUGAAGAUCUUGGAGCCAUCCUACCAGCCCUGGGCUGCUCGCCUCUGGACUACUUCUACAUGAGAGAGAAAGACACUUUAUGUUGUUGAAGUCAUUGUUUGUUUGCAUUUUCCAUGACCAGCAGAGAAAGUUCAACUUUACUGGUAAAAUAGAUAGGGUGCUAGUCCUCAUGGUGUUUAUAAUUUACAGUGGG